GUGAAAUGCGUAGAUAUUCAUGGGAACGCCAAUGGCGAAGGCAACUGACUGGGCUUGUUCUGACGCUCAGGUACGAAAGCGUGGGUAGCGAACGGGAUUAGAUACCCCGGUAGUCCACGCCGUAAACGAUGCACACUAGGUCGCGGUACCUCUCAUGGUUUCGCGGCCGAAGGUAAACUGAUUAGUGUGCCGCCUGGGGAGUACGGUCGCAAGGCGGAAGAAAAGUUGAAGGA
rnacentral:rRNA from 1 species